UUCAGCAAGAUAGAGUUUGAUUAUGGCUCAGGAUGAACGCUGGCGGCGUGCCUAAUACAUGCAAGUCGAGCGAACAGAUAAGGAGCUUGCUCCUUUGACGUUAGCGGCGGACGGGUGAGUAACACGUGGGUAACCUACCUAUAAGACUGGGAUAACUUCGGGAAACCGGAGCUAAUACCGGAUAACAUUUGGAACCGCAUGGUUCUAAAGUGAAAGAUGGUUUUGCUAUCACUUAUAGAUGGACCCGCGCCGUAUUAGCUAGUUGGUAAGGUAACGGCUUACCAAGGCGACGAUACGUAGCCGACCUGAGAGGGGUGAUCGCCCACACUGGGAACUGAGACACGGUCCAGACUCCUUACGGGGAGGCAGCAGUAGGGAAUCUUCCGCAAUGGGGCGGAAAGCCUGACGGAGCAACGCCGCGUGAGUGAUGAAGGGUUUCGGCUCGUAAAACUCUGUUAUUAGGGAAGAACAAACGUGUAAAGUAACUGUGCACGUCUUGACGGUACCUAAUCAGAAAGCCACGGGCAAACUACGUGCCAGCAGCCGCGGUAAUACGUAGGUGGCCAAGCGGUUAUCCGGAAUUAUUGGGCGUAAAGCGCGCGUAGGCGGUUUCUUAAGUCUGAUGUGAAAGCCCCACGGCUCAACCGUGGAGGGGUCAUUGGAAACUGGGAAACUUGAGUGCAGAAGAGGAAAGUGGAAUUCCAUGUGUAGCGGUGAAAUGCGCAGAGAUAUGGAGGAACACCAGUGGCGAAGGCGACUUUCUGGUCUGUAACUGACGCUGAUGUGCGAAAGCGUGGGGAUCAAACAGGAUUAGAUACCCUGGUAGUCCACGCCGUAAACGAUGAGUGCUAAGUGUUA
rnacentral:rRNA from 1 species